CGCUUUGUGGGCUAGAGCUUCGCGAAAACGUUCUCUUCCGCGCCCUGCAUCAGGCCCCUCCUUGGGCUUGGAGGACUUUCUCAGCCCAGCGAGGCUUGACGAAGCGACUUACCCCCAAAACCUCACAGCUGUCGUGAUGCUGGGAUGAGAAAUCAAAGGGUGAGAGGAGACAGUUUCCACGAGGCGUUAACCUUGGAACUUACAUUUUAAAAGGAGGUACCGGCGUCAGCCAGACCAACACAGCAGAGUUCCUGUGGAUUGCUGGGCAGAAAUCAUCAAUGUCCCAAGAGCAGAAGAAAUUGUGCCCUGCUCACACAGAUGUUCAAGACAGCUGCUUCAGUGGGAAUCUCUUCCCCUCUACUACCAAAACAGAACCAAAAAAAAAAAAAAAAAAAAAAAUCACAAUUCUUCCCACUCUCAGUCAGUAGAAGUGUAACUCUGUACUGUCAAGCAAUUUGACAAUUACUUUAUUCUUUCACUUUUAAGAAGUCUGACAUGUACAAAAGGAAAUGUGUUAAUGUAAGUUAUAAAGCGUAGUAAAAUGAACACUUGUACACCCAAUUUAUGAAACAACUUGUAUUAUUUUUCCUCUAUGAACUGUAUUUUACAUUUUUUAAUUCUAUUUUUUAUUGAAGUAUAGUCGGUGUACAAUGUGUCAAUUUCCAGUGUACAGCAUAAUGUUUCAGUAAUACACAUACAUAUGUAUAUUAUUUUUCAUAUUCUUUUUCAUUAUAGGUUAUUAUACGAUAUUGAAUAUAGUGCCCUGUGCUGUACAGUAAGACCUUGUUUAUCUGUUUUAUAUAUAAUAGUAUCUGCAAAUCCCAAUUUACCCCUUCCCACCUUCAUUCCCCUCCGGUAACCAUAAGUUUGUUUCCUAUGUCUGUGAGUCUGUUUCUGUUUUGUACAUAAGUUCAUUUGUGUCAUUUUUAAGAUUCUACAUAUAAGUGAUAUCAUACGGUAUUUUUCUUUCUCUUUCUGGCUUGUAUCACUUAGUAUGAUAAUCUCCAGGUCCAUCAGUGUUGCCGAAAAUGGCAUUAUUUCAUUCUUUUUUAUGACUGAGUAGUAUUGUAUUGUAUAUAUAUAUACACCACAUCUUCUUUAUCCAUUCAUCUGUCAAUGGACAUUUAGGUUGCUUCCGUGUCUUGGCUAUUGUAAAUAGUGCUGCUAUGAACAUUGGGGUGUAUGUAUCUUUUCAAAUUAGAGCUUCCUCCAGAUAUAUGCUGAGGGGUGGGACUGCUGGAACAUAUGGUAAGUCUAUUUUUUAGUUUUUUAAGGAAACAUAUAAUUGUAUAUAUAUAUAUAAAAUUGAUGCUUCUCCAUGUGUUCCUCCCAGAUCCCACCUUCUCUCUGCUUCCUCUCAAGAUAAUCACUAUCCUGAUUUUUAAAAAUCAUUUCAACUUUUCUUUAUGAAAUUACUAUAUAUUCCCAAACAAUAUACCAUUUACUUUUUGUAUCAUUACUUUUCAAUGAUAAAAUUAUUUCUGUGCUGUACCAUUAUACUGCUGCUUCUUUUCAAUCAACAUUAUGCUUCCAUCCCCAUGUGUUUUCCCUGCCACAUAGAUUCCAUUAUAUGAAUAUACCAUGACUUAUAAAUCCAUUUUCCUAUCUCCAACAUUCAAAUUGUUUCCUUUCCCCUCUCUCCCCUCCCACUAUAAUGUACAUUGCUAUGAAUAUUCUUAUAUAGUUUCCUGAUUCAUGUGUGCAGGAAUUGUUCCAGGAUGGAGUUGUUGACUUGGAGGAUAUAUAAGACACAAAGAGUUUUCCAAAGUGGUUGUGCCAAUAUACACCCCCAGCAAUACCCUCUCCCUAAGCUUGAGCACAGCUCCUUCCUUAUCUUCACAAAGCACAGUUAAGACAAGUCUUCUAUGUUAAAUGUAAUUUUUUUUUACUGAAAGCUGAGCACAUUACAGGAAAAAUCUUAAACUGAAUAGCAUAAUUCACUGUUGGAUUUCUUUGGUCAUGUUUCUUCAUUGAGGGUCCUCUACUCAGUCACUCUGUUCCAUAGACCAACUUGGCCUGCCAGGUUAAAAGCUUCCUUUAUCCAAUCUUACCUUCCCCAGACUCCCAUCUUUUUUUAUCUCCAACUCUAAUAAAAAUAAUAAUAAAGCCCCCUUCUCCAACAACAGCAAGAAAGCAUUAACAUGCUGCCUGCAAAGAUGCAGCCCUGCCCACAAUGUAGUCAUCCUUUUACAUCACUAUGCAUUACACUUGUUCCUAAUUGUUCUGAGCUUCUUCAUUCCAGGAUGAAAUUUUGCGUUACUUUCAUGUACCCAGGAGACCCAUUAAACUGUUUUUCAAAAGAGCAGUCUUCCCCUGGAGAUGAAUUUUACAAUCAUCCCUAGAGUAGUUCUGUUGGUUAAACCCUCUUGGCUUGAAAGUAACAGAAACUCUCUCAAGCUAGUCAAGGCAGAAAGGGAGGAUUUGUUCUAAGGAUAUAGGAUAUCUUAAAAGAUCUUCUCACUGGCUACAUUGGAGUCAGGGACCCUCCUCUAAGCCAAUCUAGCAAGGUGAGGUCGUAUUGUACCAAAUGGCUUCCAGGGGAUCUUUGCUGUGGAUGAGGGGGUCACUGUUAACAUUCUGUAGAUGUGUUUCAAGUGACUGAUUCGCAGGGAAGAUUCAGAUGAAACAAUUUCUAAAUAGCAAAGCCAGUAGAAACUAUCCCAUUUGUUUCUCUCCCCUUUCAAAAAAGAGUCAACAAUUAUUUUAUGAGUCAAUUAUCUUUAUAAAAACUCCAUUAAUGCAAGAGCUCAACUGUAUAUCUUUAAUAUAUACAUAAUUAAUGUAUAUUAAUUACUGAAUAAUGUAAUACAUUUACUAAUCAAUGUAUUAUAUACUAUAUUCAGAUAUAAUAUAUAUAAAUAAAAAAUAAAGCAGAGUUUCUCAA